rnacentral:rRNA from 1 species
GACGAACGCUGGCGGCGUGCUUAACACAUGCAAGUCGAACGGUAAGGCCCUUCGGGGUACACGAGUGGCGAACGGGUGAGUAACACGUGGGUGAUCUGCCCUGCACUUCGGGAUAAGCCUGGGAAACUGGGUCUAAUACCGGAUAGGACCACUGCCUGCAUGGGUGGUGGUGGAAAGCUUUUGCGGUGUGGGAUGGGCCCGCGGCCUAUCAGCUUGUUGGUGGGGGGUUGGCCUACCAAGGCGACGACGGGUAGCCGGCCUGAGAGGGUGACCGGCCACACUGGGACUGAGGUACGGCCCAGACUCCUACGGGAGGCAGGAGUGGGGAACAUUGAACAAUGGGCGCAAGCCUGAUGCAGCGACGCCGCGUGAGGGAUGACGGCCUUCGGGUUGUAAACCUCUUUCAGCACCGACGAAGCGCAAGUGACGGUAGGUGCAGAAGAAGGACCGGCCAACUACGUGCCAGCCGCCGCCGUAAAAC